CCUACGGGAGGCAGCAGUGAGGAAUAUUGGUCAAUGGACGCAAGUCUGAACCAGCCAUGCCGCGUGCAGGAAGACGGCUCUAUGAGUUGUAAACUGCUUUUGUACGAGGGUAAACGCAGAUACGCGUAUCUGUCUGAAAGUAUCGUACGAAUAAGGAUCGGCUAACUCCGUGCCAGCAGCCGCGGUAAUACGGAGGAUUCAAGCGUUAUCCGGAUUUAUUGGGUUUAAAGGGUGCGUAGGCGGUCGGAUAAGUUAGAGGUGAAAUCCCGCGGCUCAACUUCGGAAUUGCCUCUGAUACUGUUCGGAUAGAGAGUAGUUGCGGUAGGCGGAAUGUAUGGUGUAGCGGUGAAAUGCUUAGAGAUCAUACAGAACACCGAUUGCGAAGGCAGCUUACCAAGCUACUUCUGACGUUGAGGCACGAAAGCGUGGGUAGCAAACAGGAUUAGAUACCCGAGUAGUC
rnacentral:rRNA from 1 species